rnacentral:ncRNA from 1 species
AAAUAAAUAGGGCAAACCUACGGAAACGUAGUGACGCAAAGCUAUAGGGGCUAAAGCACUAUGCUAAGCCAGCCAGCUGCCGUU